UGGUGGGGUAGUAUAAUUAAUGCAUUCGGCUUUUAACCGAGGAAUGGUAGUAGUUACUCUACCUCCCGUCAG
rnacentral:tRNA from 1 species